rnacentral:rRNA from 1 species
CGAGAGGCCCAAACGUUAUUCGGAUUUACUGGGCUUAAAGAGUUCGUAGGCGGUUCGGUAAGUGGGGUGUGAAAGCCCUCGGCUCAACCGAGGAAUUGCGCUCCAAACUGCCGGGCUCGAGGGAGAUAGAGGUGAGCGGAACUGAUGGUGGAGCGGUGAAAUGCGUUGAUAUCAUCAGGAACACCAGAGGCGAAGGCGGCUCACUGGGUCUCUUCUGACGCUGAGGAACGAAAGCUAGGGGAGCAAACGGGAUUAGAUACCCCGGUAGUCCUAGCCGUAAACGAUGAGCACUGGACCGGAGCUCUGCACAGGGUUUCGGUCGUAGCGAAAGUGUUAAGUGCUCCGCCUGGGGAGUAUGGUCGCAAGGCUG